GAGUUUGCAUUAAUCCCAUGCUUUAUUUCUCUCCCUUGCAGGGCAGCUCAUGAUAGAAGUGGACAGUAUCACAGUGUGAGUGAAGGUCAGCGUAGGAGCAGCUGCUGAUGGGAGGAAGGAAGUCCAGGCUCAUGGACUCUGGAGCAUCUCCCAGUACAGUACCAGAGGAGGCAGGAAUGAUGUUGCAGAAGAACAUGAGAAGCUCCCCAGCAGGAAGCCACAAACUCUGCCUUUGCCAAGAAGGACUUGUCUGUCCUUGUAAAAAGCAGAAAGCUGGCUCAUCCAAAUGCUUGCUGAUUGCUUGGGAGCUCA
rnacentral:lncRNA from 1 species